rnacentral:rRNA from 1 species
UACGUAGGGUGCAAGCGUUAUCCGGAAUUAUUGGGCGUAAAGAGCUCGUAGGCGGUUUGUCACGUCUGCUGUGAAAACUGGAGGCUCAACCUCCAGCCUGCAGUGGGUACGGGCAGACUAGAGUGCGGUAGGGGAGAUUGGAAUUCCUGGUGUAGCGGUGGAAUGCGUAGAGAUCGGGAAGAAUACCUGUGGCGAAGGCGGCCAGCUGGGCCAGAUCCGACACUGAGGCGCGAAAGCGUGGGGAGCAAACAGG